UUCUGCAAACGCUUCAAACAGAGCCGACUCAAGCAACACUGCUGCUGUCUGUCUCAGCUAAAAUGUCUCAAGAUUAUUCUUAUUUUGGAUUCUCUUAUAUAAACAGAAAUGCAGAAAAUGAUGCAAGAAACACCACGGCUCUUAAUAAUGCUGCAGAUAUCUCUGUUAUUGUGGUGUACUUCCUGGUCGUCUUGGCAGUUGGAGUUUGGUCUAUGGUCCACACUAACAGAUCCACUGUAGGUGGCUUCUUCCUUGCAGGGAGGAGUAUGGUGUGGUGGCCGAUCGGAGCAUCGCUGUUUGCCAGCAAUAUUGGCAGUGUCCAUUUCGUAGGAAUUGCAGGUACUGGCGCAGCGUCAGGAAUAGCCAUUGGUGGAUUUGAAUGGAAUUCUCUUUUUGUGAUUGUUAUGCUGGGAUGGAUCUUUGUGCCCAUCUACAUUAGAGCUGGGAUUAUCACCAUGCCUGAGUACUUGAAGAAGAGGUUUGGAGGACAGCGCAUUCGCAUUUAUCUCUCUCUUCUUUCCCUUCUCUUGUAUGUCUUCACCAAAAUUUCAGCCGAUAUUUUGUCUGGUGCAAUUUUCAUCCAGCAGGCACUUGGGUUGAAUAUCUACCUCGCUGUUAUUGCACUUCUAGCGAUUACGGCACUGUACACUGUCACAGGUGGACUGGCAGCAGUGAUCUACACAGACACUUUACAAACCUUUAUCAUGCUUAUUGGAUCAUUCAUUCUGAUGGGCUUUGCUUUUAAUGAAGUGAACGGAUAUGAAAACUUUGAGAAACUCUACAUGCAAGCUGUCCCCUCAAUCAAGGGUAACUUCAGUGCAAACUGCUAUGAGCCCCGGCCAGACUCCUUCCAUCUCUUCAGGGAUCCACUUACAGCAGACAUCCCAUGGCCUGGUCUCGUGUUUGGACUCACUAUUCAGGCUAUCUGGUACUUUUGCACUGAUCAGGUGAUUGUGCAGCGCUGCCUCUCUGCCAAGAGUCUCUCUGACGUGAAAGGAGGUUGUAUCCUAUGUGGUUACCUGAAGAUACUGCCCAUGUUCCUCAUGGUUUUCCCCGGGAUGAUUAGCAGGAUCCUGUACCCAGAUGUGGUAGCAUGUGUGGAUCCAGACGAAUGUGAAAAACACUGUGGGACCAGGGUGGGCUGCAGCAACAUCGCGUAUCCAAAACUGGUCGUGGAACUCAUGCCUAAAGGCUUGCGAGGUCUUAUGCUGUCUGUGAUGCUGGCCUCUUUGAUGAGCUCCCUUACCUCUAUCUUCAACAGUGCCAGUACUCUCUUCACCAUGGACAUCUACACUAAGAUCCGCCGCUCUGCUAGUGAGAAGGAACUCAUGAUUGCUGGAAGAGUGUUUAUCUUGGCCCUGAUUGGUGUGAGCAUAGCAUGGAUUCCUAUGGUGCAGGGAUCCCAAAGUGGUCAACUCUUUGUCUACACUGAAUCCAUCACCAGUUACCUUGCCCCACCUGUUGCAGCUGUCUUCUUGCUUGCCAUUUUUUUCAAACGUGUCAAUGAGACUGGUGCAUUUUAUGGCCUCUUGAUAGGGCUGUGUAUGGGCUUGAGCAGGAUGAUUACGGAGUUUAUUUAUGGGACAGGUAGCUGUGCUGUCCCCAGUAACUGUCCCACUAUCAUAUGUGGAGUUCACUACCUUUACUUUGGGCUCAUUCUGUUUGUCAUCUCCGGCAUCGUCAUGGUGGCAGUGUCUCUCAUGACCAAACCUAUUGACGACAAACAUCUGUAUCGACUGUGCUGGAGCCUGAGGAACUGUACAGAGGAGAGGGUCGAUCUUGAGAUGGAUGAUUGGACUGAUAACCAAGACUCCAACAGUGUGGACUCAGACGAUGAUGAGCCUGGCUUCUUGAAGAAAGCGGUGAUGUGCUUCUGCGGCCUGGAAACCAAAAAAGCUCCCAAACUGACUAAAGAAGAGGAGGAAGAGCUGCAGAAGAAGCUGACAGACACCUCAGAGGUGCCUCUGUGGAGGAACGUAGUCAAUGCCAACGCCGUCAUCCUUCUGUGUGUAGCUGUGUUCUGUCAUGCCUAUUUUGCCUAAGAGUCAGCUGAUUCCAACUGCUCUCCGACUCUCUAAUUUAUACAAAUUAAUACAAAUUUAAUUUUUAGCCCUAAAACCCUGUUUAAACCUUAUAUUUUUAGAGCACUGUGUUUUUCUUUAUCGCUUCCUGGUAUUUAAAAGUUUAAGUGAACCAGUAGACAGUACUGUAAUAUAUUAAUACGUAUUAGACUUAAAAAAUGUUGAAGAAGUGCAUAAAUAUGUACACAUUUGUAUGCUAUUUAUUGUUCUAAAAUGUCUGAAGAUCAUUUGAGCUAAGUAUGAAUUUUCUUCUAUAUCUUAAUGGUAAGUUUGAAAUAUUUUGUGAAUGAAGCUGCAGGUUAGCCUUCACUUGUAAAGAACAAUCCAGCACUGUGAUCUGUGAUCACCUUUGGGCUCUUGUUUGUGUAGGUAUUCUGAACCAUUAUUACAUUUAGCUUUCAUUACAGUGGUCACCAGGACAUAAAACCCUUGUGUAUAAAAUCACUAUUCAGAUCAGACAAAAAUACUACAAACGUUUAUCCUCAAAUAAUGUAUCAUGACGUUUCUUCUACCACCAUCUUUUCUGUUGCAGAACUCUCUCAGAGUUACACUCUGGUGCCAUAUCUUUUUCUUAUAUUGUCUCUGGCAAUAUAAAAAGGAUCAUGUAAAACCAAUAAAACCUUAACUGAGCCAAAAGUAACUACAAUAAUUUAUUUUACAAUAACUUUAUUAUGCCAACAUCACAAAAAAAGGUUGCUGAGUUUGGUGAGUCAUGAGAUCAAAUGUAGGGUGUUGCUUUUUGGGAACCACACCUACAGGAUAUGUUUACUGGUCUCUACACAACCAAACUUACUGCAAGCUAAGAGAAGAGAAUGACAGCUAUCAACCACACCAUCACGUUAAGAAGGAUCCAUCAACCAUCACCAUUUUAUUUUAACACAAUCUGUUCUUCACCUGUCAGAGCUCAGUGACAUCUGGCUCAUAAAGCUGUUACUGUAGGGACACCUACUGGCUGCUGAUAGUAGUUGCGUCUUUAGUCACCUCAUAAUAUUUUUUGCUUAUGCUGCAUCUAUUUAUUCCUGCUCUGUCCACUCUGAUGCUGUAAUAUUGUGAAUUUCACAACUGCUGGAAUAACACAGACUAUCUUAUCCAAAUGAUAUUAACAUGCAAAGGUUCACAACAUCAACUGUAUCCAUCCAUUAACUUUAAAAUACAUACAUAAAAAUCAUACAUAUCACCCUCUUCUGAUGUCUUUCCUUUGUUGUUUUGGUGUUGUUGUUUGGUUUGGCUGAAUAUUGCAGGUAACAUUUUUAAUUCUGACAUUGGUUCUCAUGUAUUUUUCAGCCUGUCACAGACCUCCUCAAAAAGCAGUGAGACUAAUAAAUAACCUAGAAAGGGGGGGGGGGGACAUGUUUUAUUAUUAUUAUUUCCUGUGAAUAUUAGCUGUCAUAGACUUGCAGUAAGUGAGAAAAAAUAUUUCCUUGUUUCCUUGACAUGAGUGAGACAAGUUAUCAGUGACGGUAUUUGACGGCUAUUCUUGUUUUACUUAUCAACGAAGCUGUCAAAAUCAGUUUAUCAGUGACACAGCAAAUGGUUAAAGUUUAACAGAGCUGUCAUGUACACACUUGCAGCAUCCUAAACUGGAUUCUACUUUAUUAAAUUUGGGCUAUAACCCACUGCAAUACAAAUACUACCUGUUAGUUUUUUGUGUUUGGGCAACCCCAGUAUCUUCACUUCAGGUAUUUCCUUGUAGGUUUAUAAUUAACAAUAUUAUUUGCUAAACGGUUACAUAUUUUAACACAUUCAUUUUUAAACCAACAUUUGUGAAACUGUAAGAUUUACAUGUGCAUUCACUUUCAACUAGCAUGUGUUUUAAUGAUUUAGAUGAUUAAAUCAUGAUCAAUGAUUAAAUCCAC